rnacentral:sRNA from 1 species
UUGCAAUCUAUCUAAAUGUCUGCUACGUCGGCGGCCGCAGGGAAUGACAAAACAAUUAAACAACAGCUCAAUCUGCCGUGUUGUCACAAAUAUUGGGGAACCCACAUAAACAAAUUAGCUGCGUUCGUUGUGAAUGGAUACAGUUGCAAGCCAGCUAAAUGUCAGCUGGGUACAACUUUCCACGUCCGCGGCCGCAGGGAAUGACAAAACAAAUAAACAACAGCUGUAUUAAAUUUAAGUGUUUUUUAUAAAUAUAUUCUUUAUGUAACCGAAUAAUAAUUAUCAUAAUGAGUAAAUAAUAUUUCGUUUGUCACAGGUGCAGAUCGCACACUUGACACGUGCUAGCGUUAAAAUUGAAUGUCAAUGGCCGAAGAAGAAGCACUGAGCAAUGCAUAGUUUAUUUAAAAACUAGAAUUAUUCUGCCAACGUCAUAUAAGGAAGCUAUCUUCACAGCAGCAACUAGAGUAUAUAAACAACUUUAGAUCCCACAAUUGUGUACAACAGCUGGUGCCAACACUUAUCAAAACAACAAUAAACUCAAGCAAAUGUCCCUUACAUCAAUAAGAAAGCAAGUUUAUUCAACAUUUUACACACAGCAGAGUCCUAGUGCUCGCCCAUACAAUCCAAUUCAUUGUAAAACGGAUGCGACUAUAAAAAUGCGUUGGUAAAACA